UAAUCACCUGCUUGUCCAAGCUGUUCCUAAUGUCCUCACCUCUUCUCCUCUUUCCCCCCACCUGCGAGGAGGGCAUAAACUCACAGAGCUGCAGACCAUGCUUCUGAAGGCAAUAAAACUGCUACUUGGACAUAUGGUCUUUGGUAUCUGAGCUGGGAGUUACAGCAAAAGAGACAAGAAGAAAAAAAAUGAUGCUCAAUGUGCUGCAUACUGCUGCCCAGGCAAUAGGCUGCCUGAAAGGAAAAAAUCUGACGGGGAAAAUGCUUUCUUUCAGGUGCAACACGUGCUCCAGGCACAUAGCUGGAUCCGAGCCUGAACGUGAGGAAUGCUGAUGAAACACCAGGCUACCUCCAAAUCCCAGAGAGAGCAAAACAAAGUGCUUUUCAUAGCAAUGAAGUGCUACAGAUAAAAGAAGAGCAAAUGAUGUACUGUAUGUGCAAAGCUGCUGUUUUUACACACAAUUCACAGGAAAACAGUUUCCUCUGAAGAUUCAUGCUACUGAACAGAGUAUGCACUGUAUUAAGGGGCUAGAAAAAAAAAAACUUUGAGUAAAAUACUGGCACAUCUGAGUACAGCUCAACGGGAGCACUCCUGAAAUGAUAUGUUACUGUUCCUCUCUUGGGUUGAGGCUAUUAAUGACUGUGUACAAUACAAGCCAAGAUUAUAUGCAGUCCAUAAAUACAUUCUCAUGCGUUCAUGGAAAGCUUUGCGGCAAGGCCAGAUUUCAAAACUGGGAAAGAAAAGCAGAGCACAAAGAAAACGACACUUGUAACUUUACUCCAACAACAUUUCUAAAAGCAAAAUAAAGUAAACACUCUGAUAACUAAGUCAAAGUUUAUUACCUGUUCUAGAGCCAAAUGAAUUUGUAAAACUUUCUGAUGGGUAUGGCAAUUCAUCCCAUUUAUCUUGGCAACGUAUCUUAAGAUGGAAUGAAUUACCAUCUGGAAGUACCUGUCUCUUUCCAUCCACUCACUGGAGAGAGAGGUUGAGCAGCUCGUUUAAUUGAGACAUCUAACUUUCGAUGGGUAAUGUUAAGUGAAAUUAAAUCUGCCCACACUCCUUGUUCUCCUUCCUACCAAGGGACCCAGGCAAUUUGUCCUUUUCUAGGGUUUACAGGGUUAUUAUGGCAGCAAAUUUGUUAUGUAAUCGGGGUACCUUUGAACUGUGUUGUGAACUCCUAUGAACCUUUGUUAAUCUUUCAAACACAACUUACUGCUAAAGCUGAGAAGCCUUGACUUCCAGGGCUUAGCCAGAAUUUUUUGGCUGGGUAAAAAGGGAAGAAAUUAUUUUUAUUUGUAAAUGGAGGAAAUAUAAGAUGAAAGCAAAUGGAAGAUAAUACUAAACAUUUAAUCAUCUCAAGAACAUUUUUUUCAAACUUACGCUUGUACUACCUUGAGAAUAAAGUUACAGUUCAGUUCUAGUUAGAGUUGCACACAUAACAGCAGUUCCUGGGCUCUUGACAUCCCUGGCCUAAAAUCUUGCUGGCAUUCAGCAGGUAU